rnacentral:rRNA from 1 species
GCCAGCGACCAUACCACGUAGAAAGCACCGGUUCUCGUCCGAUCACCGAAGUUCAGGUUCGUUGGGCCGGGUUUGUUUUUUGUGUGUGUGUGGGGUUGGGAUUCUUGGUUUUUGUUGCUU